UACAGAGGUCCCGAGCGUUAGGCGGAAUCACUGGGCUUAAAGCGUGUGUAGGUGGAUCGUUAAGUACCUUGUGAAAUCCCACGGCUUAACCGUGGAACUGCUUGGUAUACUGGCGGUCUUGAGCCAGCUAGGGGCUACCGGAACAAAUGGUGGAGCGGUGGAAUGCGCAGAUAUCAGGAGGAACACCGGUGGCGAAGGCGGGUCUCUGGGCAGUAACUGACGCUGAGGCGCGACAGCGUGGGGAGCAAACAGG
rnacentral:rRNA from 1 species